rnacentral:rRNA from 1 species
UAAAUAAAUCUUAUUAAGAUUGUUAUUAAAUUAUUAAAUUAAUAAAAAUAAUUUUAUUAUAAAAGUUUUUGUAGUUUUUAAUGAUAAAAUAAUUUUAAUUAUAGUAUAUUAGUAUUGUGAAAGAAAGAUGAAAUAAAUUGAAAAUAAAUUAAUUUAAAAGAAAAUUUUAUUUAUUGUACCUUGUGUAUCAGGGUUUAUUAAUUAAAAAAUACAUAAAGUAUUUUUCUCGAAUUUAAGAGAGCUAAUUAAUUAUUUUAGUUAUUGUGGCAUAAAUAUUAAUAAUAAUUAAUUAGAAAUGAAACGUUAUUCGUUCUUAAAUAUAUCUAGUUUUUUAAGAAAUAAAUUUAAUUUAUAUAUUUUUAAUUGUAAUAAUUUAAUUUAUUAAGUUAUUAUUUAAUAAUAUAAAUAUCUUAAGGGAUAAGCUUUAAGAUAAAUUUUUAUAAAAUCUAAUAAUUAAAAAUAAUUGUAGGUUUAGAAAUAGCCAUUAAUUGUAAAUAUGUUAUAAUAUAUUUUUGUAAAAUAUUAUUUAUUGAAUUUUUAAAUUUUUAUUAAAAUAUUAAUUUUAAUUAUAAAAAUUAAGGAAUAAUGAUAAAAUUAGUAUAUAUUAAUUUAUAAAUAAAUAAAAAUGAUAGGUUUAUUAAAGGAACUCGGCAAAUUAAAUAUUCGCCUGUUUAUCAAAAACAUGUCUUUUUGGUUUUAUUUAAAGUCUAACCUGCCCACUGAAAUUAUUUAAAGGGCCGCGGUAUUUUGACCGUGCAAAGGUAGCAUAAUCAUUAGUUUUUUAAUUGAAAGCUUGUAUGAAUGGUUGGACGAAAUAUUGACUGUCUUUAUUAAAUUUUUUAUAGAAUUUAACUUUUUUGUUAAAAGGCAAAAAUAAAUUUAAAGGACGAGAAGACCCCAUAGAGCUUUAUAUUUUUAUAAUAUAAUUUAUAAAGAAUAAUUUAAAUUUUAUUAAAAAAAUUAUUUUGUUGGGGUGACAAUAAAAUUUAUUAAACUUUUAUUAUUUUAUUACAUUGAUUUAUGAAUAAUUGAUCCAAUUUUAUUGAUUAAAAAAUUAAGUUACCUUGGGGAUAACAGCGUAAUUUUUUUAAAGAGUUCAUAUCGACAAAAAAGAUUGCGACCUCGAUGUUGGAUUAAGAGUAAUUUUAGGUGUAGAAGUUUAAAGUAUUGGGUCUGUUCGACCCUUAAAUUCUUACAUGAUCUGAGUUCAAACCGGCGUAAGCCAGGUUGGUUUCUAUCCUUAAUUAAUUAAAAUAUUUUAGUACGAAAGGACCAAAUAUUUGAUAUAUAAAUAUUUUUAAAAUAUGAAUAUAAUUAAUUU